UUCCAAAGGAGUUGGUGUUGGUUGGAUAGGGCAGCCAUAAAGUGGGUGGUAAACUCCAUCUAAAACUAAAUAUAACCAUGAGACCGGAUAGUAAACAAGUACCGUGAGGGAAAGUUGAAAAGAACUCUGAAUAGAGAGUUAAACAGUACGUGAAACUGCUUAGAGGUUAAGCCCGAUGAACCUGAAUAUCCGUUAUGGAAAAUUCAUCAUUAAAAUUGUAAUAUUUAAAUAAUAUUAUUAAGAAUAAUGUGCAUUUUUUCCAUAUAAGGACAUUGUAAUCUAUUAGCAUAUCCCAAAUUUAUCAUAAAAUAUAACUUAUAGUUUAUUCCAAUUAAAUUGCUUGCAUUUUAACACAGAAUAAAUGUUAUUAAUUUGAUAAAGUGCUGAUAGAUUUAUAUUAUUACAGAGCGUUAAUUUUUCGGAAUUAUAUAAUGGCAUAAUUAUCAUUGAUUUUUGUGUUUAUUAUAUGCUCUUGUAUGAUUAACAAUGCGAAAGAUUCAGGAUACCUUCGGGACCCGUCUUGAAACACGGACCAAGGAGUCUAACAUAUGUGCAAGUUAUUGGGAUGUAAACCUAAUAGCGUAAUUAACUUGACUAAUAAUGGGAUUAGUUUUUUAGCUAUUUAUAGCUAAUUAACACAAUCCCGGGGCGUUCUAUAUAGUUAUGUAUAAUGUAUAUUUAUAUUAUUUAUGCCUCUAACUGGAACGUACCUUGAGCAUAUAUGCUGUGACCCGAAAGAUGGUGAACUAUACUUGAUCAGGUUGAAGUCAGGGGAAACCCUGAUGGAAGACCGAAACAGUUCUGACGUGCAAAUCGAUUGUCAGAAUUGAGUAUAGGGGCGAAAGACCAAUCGAACCAUCUAGUAGCUGGUUCCUUCCGAAGUUUCCCUCAGGAUAGCUGGUGCAUUUUAAUAUUAUAUAAAAUAAUCUUAUCUGGUAAAGCGAAUGAUUAGAGGCCUUAGGGUCGAAACGAUCUUAACCUAUUCU
rnacentral:ncRNA from 1 species